AACUUUUAACAACGGAUCUCUUGGUUCUCGCAUCGAUGAAGAACGUAGCAAAGUGCGAUAACUAGUGUGAAUUGCAUAUUCAGUGAAUCAUCGAGUCUUUGAACGCAUCUUGCGCUCUUUGGUAUUCCAAUGAGCACGCCUGUUUCAGUA
rnacentral:rRNA from 1 species